CGCAGGGCUGGCCCGCAGGCCGCUCCUGCGACUGCCGAGACUCGUCCGCCCCGCCCCUGCGGCCAGUGUGGCUUUUGACAGUCCGGUCUUUUGGAGAAGCCCCCCAGUCCUGGGCGUCCCCUGUAGGGCCUUUAGACCCGUGGCCCCCAGUGGCCUAAACCUCUGCGCCCUCCACUCAUCAGCCACUGCCCGCCCCACCUCGCGCUCUGCCUCCACGCGCCCUUGCAAACGCUCUCCGGAGCUUUGGUUAUCCCAGACUAACUCCCCGCGUUUUCCUCCUUCCUUUCAGGUCGCUGCCUUUCAGCCCCAGAAAUUUUUCUUCCUCUGGGCUGGGUCCUGAACCAGUUCCUAAGACGACCUGACCUUCUCCAUGGCUUCACCCCCAGACCCAGGGCACCCAUAGCGCCAAAUCUGUAUCUCCCAAGCAUCCAACUGCCGGCUCCACGUCCCUCUUCAAACUGCUCUUUCUGCUGUCGUUACUUUCUCAGAACAUGGCCCCAAUUCUUCUAAGAUGCUUGGGCCAAGACCUUUGGAGGUAUCCUUGAGCCCUCAGUCGGCCUCCACCACCCAGCAAUCUUGUAAGGCCUGUUUACCACGGAAUAUCUCCACUCCUCCCACAAACCCAACAUCUGUCUUUUCUCAUCCAGACUAUUUACCCUCCUUGGUCUGGUCUGCGUCUAUUCUUCAUGCUUCAGUCUUUAAAAAGAAAUUUAAAUUGUGAUCCCCUACCUUUGGCUUCAAACCCUCCAUGACUUCCCAUUGCAUGUAAAAUUCACACUCACCACUGUCCCAGCUGGUCCUGUGUGGUCUGGCCCCUUUCUUUCUCUCCCAGUUCAUCUCUCCCCACCUCCUCUUCACUCUCCAUUCUCCAGCCACAAGGCCUUUAAGUGGUUAUUUGAAUAAUUCACACUCCAUCUUCCGGAAACCAUUUCCCUAGACUUGCCUCUGCAAUGUGGACACCCCUGUCACAGACAAACUGAAGACACUUGUGGUCACAGUGGAGCCCAUCUGACAGAUGUUGAGUCAGGCAGAGCAGGACAACUUCAGAGGCGAGAGGCCCAGCAGAGCACCCAGCUGGUGCCAGAGAAAGAUCCAGGCUUCUGGAAUUUGGCCAGGCCCCCAGGGGCUCCAGAAAUCUCUGUCUACAGGAGCUCAAGUUUUCAGCCUGCUGCCAGGCCCUUAAUCAGAAAACAAGGCCCCAUUUCCUCCUGGGACUUCUGAACCAGCAUCCCAAGCCUCAGAUGAAAAAACUGAGGCACAGAGAGAUUAAGAGACAUGUUUAUGGACAUAGAACUGAGAGGUGGCAGAGAGGGGAUUCAAACCCAGGCAUCCUGGCUGCAGAGUCAAUGCUAUGUUGCCUCUCAUGUAGUGUAAAGUUUGGUGAGAUUUGACGAACGGAUGCCCUCCUGUAACCUCCACCUAAUCAAGAUAUGGAACAUUUCCAUCACACUGAAGUUUCUUGGUUCCUCUUUGUAGUCCAUCUCCGCUGCCCCCAUCUGGCAGUCACUAACCUACUUUCCAUCACUAGAGUAGUGGUGCCCAUUCUGGAAUUUCACAUACUUGGAAUCAAGGAGUAUGUACCCUUGGUCUCUGUUCAGCAUGUUUUCGAGACUCAUUCAUGUUGUUGCAGAGAGAGUACUUUUCGGGUCAGUAUGUUAUGCUAUUACUAGAAAUUUCAAUCUGAGCAUCAUUAUCUUUCAUAUAUAACAUUAAAACAGGUUUCAUUUCUCCCAGGGGUAUAUAUUACUGCAUAACUACUUAACUUUUAUGGAAAAUUUCAAAUGGAUCUAAGUGUAGACAGGACAGUAUAGUGAGCUUCCUUGUGCCUAUCAGCCACCUUCAAUUAUGAACUGAUGGCCACUCUUGUUUCAUGUCAAACUCCACCCACUAACCAACCCCUUCCAUAUUGACACAAAUCUUAAUUCUGUUACAUGUAUUUCAGUGGUUUUCUGAAACUGUUUCAAAAAAAUAUAUAUAUGAUCUCUACCAAACCUAAAAAAAAAAAUCAAUACCGUAUUGCUAUUAAAGUGACCUUUGAGAGGCUUGUUUAUACAUAAUACUUGGGAUUGUGAGAAAUAAUUACUAAGUCUGUGGUAAAUUUCUUUGCCUCUUUGUUUACUGAUUUUGUCAGGGGACUACUUGUAAUCGUCCAAAACUAGCUUGACUGAGGUCAUUUCAGGGUAAUGUGUUUUCUCCAAAAAGCGCUUUUUGGUUCAAAACAAGUUGAGAGCAUCCCAUUGUAUGAGGGAUUCUGUAAAGACCAAAAUGUAGUAAGUAAACUCUUUUCUCAGAAUACAUGUUUUUUUUUUUUUUUAAGUUUUCUGAGGGGGAACUACCUAUGUUUGGUGUAUUUAGGAGGGGAUUUCAGUUGGUAAUUUACCAGG